AGCCUCCCAAUGCUUACCACAGGCUGUGUUCUUUACACUGUAUAGAAUAUAGAAGAGGAGGUACAGUAAAAGCUCCCCAUAUACACCUCAAACCAGGCCUUUUGCCUGGUCUGUAUUGUGAAUGGGGGGACAAAA